GCAGAACGCGAAGAACCUUACCAAGGCUUGACAUAUACCGUUUAUCCCUAGAGAUAGGGAGUCCUUCGGGGCGGUAUACAGGUGGUGCAGGGUUGUCGUCAGCUCGUGUCGUGAGAUGUUGGGUUAAGUCCCGCAACGAGCGCAACCCUCGUUCUAUGUUGCCAGCACGUAAUGGUGGGGACUCAUAGGAGACUGCCGGGGUCAACUCGGAGGAAGGUGGGGAUGACGUCAAAUCAUCAUGCCCCUUAUGUCUUGGGCUUCACGCAUGCUACAAUGGCCGGUACAAAGGGCUGCAAUACCGUAAGGUGGAGCGAAUCCCAAAAAGCCGGUCUCAGUUCGGAUUGAGGUCUGCAACUCGACCUCAUGAAGUCGGAGUCGCUAGUAAUCGCAGAUCAGCAACGCUGCGGUGAAUACGUUCCCGGGUCUUGUACACACCG
rnacentral:rRNA from 1 species